GCCUGAAGUUUUAAAUCUUGCUUAGAAAAUUGUUCAUAACCCUUGCAUCUUUGCAUUUCUGGGUUAUAAAAUUGGAUUUUCCUGGCUGUUUUUUAAAAUUUGGCUGUUUACUGUUGGUUUGUCGGGAUUUAGGAUGUUUGGGGGAGGGUGGGCUGUGAGUUAGGCCAGGGUGUGCACAGUGUUCCUGUUGCCUUCUAACAGCUCCUUUUCCCCUCAUAAUUUUCCAGGCUGCAGGCGUCACUGCUCUCUCUGCCACUGAGCAAGGAAACCUGCUGCUGAAUUUCUCCAUGCUUGGGAAAAGUUUAAUGGCUACAAAGCAUUGGAUCUGCAGGGGAUGAGAAGAAUCCUUUCCCAGAGAUUUUCUGCCAAAUGAAGACAAGAUGACAGAAGUUUGAACAAGAUUUCUGCUGAACAAACCAAGAGAAUGUGACCAGGAGCUGGCCUGACCUCAUACACUGAAUGAGACAGAAUUUAUAGUGACUCUGACUGGAACCCAAGUGCCUUUACUGGGUCUCCAGGA